rnacentral:lncRNA from 1 species
UCUUUGUGAGCACCCCGCUCCCAGCAGGAGAGUCCACGUCAAUCGCGCAAGCGCACCUACGUACAUGGCCGUGCUGUGACGUCACACAUAGUGACACCUG